rnacentral:rRNA from 1 species
GAUGAACGCUAGCUACAGGCUUAACACGUGCAAGUCGAGGGGAAACGGCAUCGAAAGCUUGCUUUUGAUGGGCGUCGACCGGCGCACGGGUGAGUAACGCGUAUCCAACCUGCCCAUCACUUGGGAAUAACCUUGCGAAAGUAAGACUAAUGCCCAAUGACAUCCCACGAAGGCAUCCGAAUGGGAUUAAAGAUUUAUCGGUGAUGGAUGGGGAUGCGUCUGAUUAGCUUGUUGGCGGGGUGACGGCCCACCAAGGCAACGAUCAGUAGGGGUUCUGAGAGGAAGGUCCCCCACAUUGGAACUGAGACACGGUCCAAACUCCUACGGGAGGCAGCAGUGAGGAAUAGUGGUCAAUGGGCGAGAGCCUGAACCAGCCAAGUAGCGUGCAGGAUGACGGCCCUAUGGGUUGUAAACUGCUUUUAUAAGGGAAUAAAGUGGGUCACGUGUGACUUUUUGCAUGUACCUUAUGAAUAAGGACCGGCUAAUUCCGUG